GGGCCCGCACAAGCAGCGGAGCAUGUGGUUUAAUUCGAAGCAACGCGAAGAACCUUACCAGGUCUUGACAUCGUCUGCAUAUCUUAGAGAUAAGAGAAACCCUUCGGGGCAGAUAGACAGGUGGUGCAUGGUUGUCGUCAGCUCGUGUCGUGAGAUGUUGGGUUAAGUCCCGCAACGAGCGCAACCCUUGUAAUUAGUUGCUAACACGCAAUGGUGAGCACUCUAAUUAGACUGCCAGGGAUAACCUGGAGGAAGGUGGGGAUGACGUCAAAUCAUCAUGCCCCUUAUGACCUGGGCUACACACGUGCUACAAUGGCUGGCACAAAGAGAAGCGAACCAGCGAUGGGGAGCGAAACUCAAAAAGCAGUCCCAGUUCGGAUUGAUGGCUGCAACUCGCCAUCAUGAAGCCGGAGUUGCUAGUAAUCGCGAAUCAGCAUGUCGCGGUGAAUACGUUCCCGGGCCUU
rnacentral:rRNA from 1 species